rnacentral:rRNA from 1 species
GUGGGGAAUAUUGGACAAUGGGCGAAAGCCUGAUCCAGCCAUGCCGCGUGUGUGAAGAAGGUCUUCGGAUUGUAAAGCACUUUAAGUUGGGAGGAAGGGCAGUAAGUUAAUACCUUGCUGUUUUGACGUUACCGACAGAAUAAGCACCGGCUAACUUCGUGCCAGCAGCCGCGGUAAUACGAAGGGUGCAAGCGUUAAUCGGAAUUACUGGGCGUAAAGCGCGCGUAGGUGGUUUUGUAAGUUGGAGGUGAAAUCCCCGGGCUCAACCUGGGAACUGCCUCCAAAACUGCAUGACUAGAGUACGGUAGAGGGUAGUGGAAUUUCCUGUGUAGCGGUGAAAUGCGUAGAUAUAGGAAGGAACACCAGUGGCGAAGGCGACUACCUGGACUGAUACUGACACUGAGGUGCGAAAGAGUGGGGAGCAAACAGGAUUAGAUACCCGUGUAGUCC